UGGAGUGCUGAUUGUAUACUAAAAACAUCAGAUCCCAUCUGAUCUUGGUAGCUAAGUAGUAUCAUCUGUGGUUAAUACUUGGAUAGGAGACCACCAAUGAAUACCAGGUGCUAUAG
rnacentral:rRNA from 1 species